rnacentral:rRNA from 1 species
GAGCAAAAAUUCAAAAUGAAUCAAAACUUUCAACAACGGAUCUCUUGGUUCUGGCAUCGAUGAAGAACGCAGCGAAAUGCGAUAAGUAAUGUGAAUUGCAGAAUUCAGUGAAUCAUCGAAUCUUUGAACGCACAUUGCGCCCGCCAGUAUUCUGGCGGGCAUGCCUGUCC